UCACAUGCAUAAGCUGUAUACAUUUAUCCUUGUUCACUCAAGCAUGUCACUGGGUGUUUUUAAUGAAUAUUUAGACAUUAGUUAUGUAAAAGUCGAUUAUACAUAUGAUGUUUA
rnacentral:ncRNA from 17 species